UCCCAAAGCAAACCUCGUCUUUAAUUUUCAGGGAGAGUGAUCUAUACUAUCCCUAUUACUACUACUAUUAUGACUAUUUCCAGGUUAAGAGUGACUACCUGGAGGAUGAAAGCAGGGCGGCAGAAGGCAUGGAUUUCGACACAGCCAUCCAGCUCACUUGCAUCGAAAUCAAGCGAGUCUUUAAGCGGAUGAACGGAUGCGCGAUGGACAAGAAGUCAAAUCUUGAGCAGCCGGAGAAGGAAGUCGGUCUACAUGAAUUCCUACCGGCCUACGUCAUCAACACCAUCAAACAGAAAACGUUACGUAAGGCUUUGCAGGGAAACUUUAAGAAAUUCUCGGCGUUCUUCGAUUACGAAUCUCACUUCAAGUGCCUCGAGAUUUUGGGAAAAGUUGGAAAGUUUGACAUCGAAAACUUCCGCUGUGCACUCGGCUGUGGUUGGUCUAUUCCUGUCACUCUGCUUGUCGGCCCAAGUGUUGGUAUUUCCUACUGGACAGAUUCUGCCUCUGCCUUGCGUUGAAAUCGGCCAUGACGACAGUGGUGCCGGCAUCCACAGUGUGCUGCGUCAGUACUCCGCACUGAGCAUCAUGACAAUAAGGGGAGGCAUCUGGAGGUAUAUAUACGCCUCCUAACUUCAGUUCUGGAAUGCAUCACAAAACCACCGUGGCAUAUCUGGUCCUCAGCAUCCACGUCAACUUGCUGUACACUGUGCAUCAGUGCAUCCUGGCCAAGCAUCACCACUCCUCUAUUGCGUCCACUUCUUGACACAUUUCGGCACACACUAAGUCCCGGUACUUGUACGUUGUAAUAUUUUGUGGCUUCAAGAAUCCAGACGAUGUCAAAGUCCAGAAUAAACUUCAGUAUACUUGGCUCUUGUAACUUGUCUUUGAGACCAGCAAUAUUCCACCAACAAAGCUUCACCUCUCUGCUUGCACACAAAAAACACGAGGAGUGAAGCUGUCGAUAAUGACGCCAUCUCUUGGCAGCACGCGGUUCUUCCAAUCGUAAGUGAUAUUUACUCCGGCACUCUCAGCUUUCUCUCGCUCUUCUCGCUCCCUCUUCUGCAGACGAGCAGUUUCUCUCCUGAUUGCAAGGUGGACGUCCUUUUUAAUGUACACUCGCGACAUCUGUGCUCCAGCGUUCUGUAAAUUUUUGGCUGCAUGAAGUAUCCUGUCUCUUUGAUUUUGGUCGCCAACAGUGACGAGAAUCGGUCUCAUUUUCCUUUCAUUCUGUUGUGCCAGUCGCCUCACAAUCCAUCCGGUUCAAUCAACUGCUUCGGUAGGGCUUACCGCGUUCAUCACAUUCAUUACUUUCUCAUCGUCAGUUGCAGCAAGAUCAUCUCUGUCCUCUGGUGGGCCUGUUAUGAUGAGACUCUGUUGUCUUUCCUUAGCAUCUAAUGACUCUAGGAAUCGCUGUUGUUGAUGGAUCAUGUCAAAAAGCAGUUCUGAAUUUGUCAGUCAGAGUCUGAACUUCUCUUGAUUCAGUGAUGCCACCUCUGCUACUGCUACUCUGAGGCUUCGAAGCUCUUCCAGAAGGAUUCUGUUUGAUGGCUCCUCAUCUCUUGGUUCAUUUAUGAGAGCAGACAAGGCUUGUUUUAGCUGGGCAUUUUUCAUUUUAUCAAUAUUACUUAUUGCUAGAGCCUUGACAACAGAAGCAUCACUGUAUUCAGCCAUGAUUAUCGUUAGUUGUGUACAGCCAUCGUCAGACUGAGGUGGCAAAACUGCGUUGCCAGGAACGCGUUACUAGGCAACACUGCGCAUGCGCAAACCACAGCUCCCGAGUCAAGACGGGUUCCUGAACAGACACUUGCGGAGGAGGAGGAGGAGGAGGAAAAAAAAAACAUGAGGAAAGAGAAAAGCACAAGAAUGGCAAAGUGAGAGAGCGAUGAAAAGGAUACAAGGAGAAAAACAUAGAAGAGGGACGGAGGGAAAGCAGGGAAUGAAUGAUAGAGACUAAGAAAACUUUUUAUGAAGUACUAAAAGCCAAAACAUGUAGAGGGUUAUAGUAGUAGAAAGUGCAAUGCUAACUGGCAUUUGUCCAGCACUACCAAUUGUGA